GGCAGGGUGACGCUUCUGGGUGUGGAUGAAGUGAGGGAAUUUAGCCGGAUCUCUGAGGAAGAAGACAGGUGUGUUGUUGGCAACCAUGUCCCAAUUGCCUUCGUCUGUCCUGAACUUGACGGCGAAGCCUCGAGGGUCGCGGGCGCAGUCGUGGGAGCCAGACUCGCCACCGACGGUCGAGAAUCGGAUGGUGAUGGGGCAUUGCUUGCCGGGCUUGAAGAUGUCUGCCAGACUCAGGUCCUCCAACGAAUCGGUGGUCUUGUAGUAUCCAUGGGCGCC
rnacentral:misc_RNA from 1 species